GGCCUCGUAGCUCAGUUGGCUAGAGCGUUGGUUGUAUUAAAGCCUUCCCUUUGAUGGCAUGGGUUCGAAUACCACCGAGGCCG
rfam:Schistocephalus solidus strain NST_G2 genome assembly, scaffold: SSLN_scaffold0003731